UACGAAGGGGGCUAACGUUGUUCGGAAUCACUGGGCGUAAAGCGCACGCAGGCGGAUCGUUAAGUCAGGGGUGAAAUCCCGAGGCUCAACCUCGGAACUGCCUUUGAUACUGGCGAUCUUUGAGUCCGGGAGAGGUGAGUGGAACUCCGAGUGUAGAGGUGAAAUUCGUAGAUAUUCGGAAGAACACCAGUGGCGAAGGCGGCUCACUGGCCCGGUACUGACGCUCAUGUGCGAAAGCGUGGGGAGCAAACAGG
rnacentral:rRNA from 1 species